AAUUAUAGAACUAUUAAACAAAAGUGCGAUGGAAAUAAGCUCCUCAAAAUAAACAAAUAAUAAACUCCAAAACAGCGUUCGUUCUGGUGAUUGUUUUGGAUUUUUCUUUGGCGCCCGUAGGCAUAACUAUUGCAAUUCCGACGGGGUGAAGAUCGAAUCCAAACUCUCCAUUCUCUACAAUGGUGAAGAUCGAAGAGAUCAACGAAUCCGUUGUGACCAAAACGAGUAGAAAGAGGAAUCAUGGAUCGACCAGAUUCUUUGUCUUCCUUGAUUAUUUUUUCAUCUUCAUGUUCCUCGGAUUCCUCUGCUUCAUCGUUUUCCAGAUUCUUAGCCUUUGAUUCAUCACAUUCUCCUUGUUCUCAACCAGGAUACUUCUGUGACAUAGCAAGGCUUCCAUUACAGAUAUUCAAGUUCAAAGGUCAAAUGUCAUAUUUGAUCAGACCCUAAAUUUAACGCUUGAAUUUAUUAACUUUCUGUGUUGCAAAACUUUUGCUCUGGAAUCCCAAAAUUUGCACCAUUUAUCUAGUCUGUUACAGUUGAUCUUUUGUUAACAUAUCCUUAUCCUACUUUAAUAAUUUCAUUA